UGCUUGCACCGGGGAUUAGUGGCGAACGGGUGAGUAACACGUGAGUAACCUGCCCUUAACUCUGGGAUAAGCCUGGGAAACUGGGUCUAAUACCGGAUAUGACUCCUCAUCGCAUGGUGGGGGGUGGAAAGCUUUAUUGUGUUUUUGGAUGGACUCGCGGCCUAUCCUCUUGUUGGUGAGGUAGUGGCUCACCAGGGCCACCACGGGUACCCGGCCUGAGAGGGUGACCGGCCACUCUGGCACUGACACACGGCCCACACUCCUACGGGAGGCAGCUGUGGGGAAUAUUGCACAGUGGGCGCACGCCUGAUGCCGCCACCCCGCGUGAGGGAAGACCGCCUUCGUGUUGUAAACCUCUUUCAAUAGAGAAAAAGCAAAUGUGACUGUAUCUGCAAAAAAAGCGCCGGCUAUCUACGUGCCAACACCCGCGGUAAUACAUAGGGCGCACGCGUUAUCCAGAUUUAUUGCGCAUAAAGAUCUCAUACGCUGUUUGUCGCCUCUGCCGUGAAUCUCCGGCUCACAUC
rnacentral:rRNA from 2 species